UACGGAGGGUGCAAGCGUUAAUCGGAAUUACUGGGCGUAAAGCGUGCGCAGGCGGUUUGUUAAGUCUGUUGUGAAAUCCCCGAGCUCAACUUGGGAAUUGCAAUGGAUACUGGCAGGCUGGAGUAUGGUAGAGGAAGGUGGAAUUCCCGGUGUAGCAGUGAAAUGCGUAGAGAUCGGGAGGAACACCAGUGGCGAAGGCGGCUUUCUGGGCCUUACCUGACGCUGAGGAGCGAAAGCUGGGGGAGCAAACAGG
rnacentral:rRNA from 1 species